UAGGGAAUCUUCGGCAAUGGACGAAAGUCUGACCGAGCAACGCCGCGUGAGUGAAGAAGGUUUUCGGAUCGUAAAACUCUGUUGUUAGAGAAGAACAAGGACGUUAGUAACUGAACGUCCCCUGACGGUAUCUAACCAGAAAGCCACGGCUAACUACGUGCCAGCAGCCGCGGUAAUACGUAGGUGGCAAGCGUUGUCCGGAUUUAUUGGGCGUAAAGCGAGCGCAGGCGGUUUCUUAAGUCUGAUGUGAAAGCCCCCGGCUCAACCGGGGAGGGUCAUUGGAAACUGGGAGACUUGAGUGCAGAAGAGGAGAGUGGAAUUCCAUGUGUAGCGGUGAAAUGCGUAGAUAUAUGGAGGAACACCAGUGGCGAAGGCGGCUCUCUGGUCUGUAACGGACGCUGAGGCUCGAAAGCGUGGGGAGCAAACAGG
rnacentral:rRNA from 2 species